GCGGACGUGGCGGAAUGGUAGACGCUGCCGACUUAAAAUCGGCUUCCAGAGAUGGAGUGCGGGUUCAAGUCCCGCCGUCCGCACCA
rnacentral:tRNA from 1 species